GGGGCACAGCCUGGCCGAGCACAAGGAUUUCAUUGACAACGAGAUGCUGCUGGUGCUGGCGCAGAUGGAUCGGCCUUCCCGCGUCUUCCCGCACCUCUUCCUGGUGGGCAGCGGGGCGGGCAGGGUGGGCGGGGUGGGUGGCAGUGUCCCCUUCCCUCACCGCUGUCACCACGCAGGGCUCCGAGUGGAAUGCAGCCAACCUGGAGGAGCUGCAGCAGAACAGGGUCACCCACAUCCUGAAUGUGGCGCGGGAGAUCGACAACUUCUUCCCGGCGCUGUUCACGUACAUGAACGUGCGGGUGUACGACGAGGAGGCGGCCGAGCUCCUGCCCCACUGGAACGACACCUUCCUCUUCCUCUCCCGUGUCCGUGGGUGCCACAGGGCGGCAGGAGGCCGGGCACUGGUGCACUGCCGGAUGGGGCUGAGCCGCUCGGCCGCCACAGUGCUGGCCUACGCCAUGAAGGAGUUCGGGUGGCCCCUGGAGCGGGCGCUGCGGCACGUCCGGCACUGCCGGCCCGGAGUCCUGCCCAACCCGGGCUUCAUGCGCCAGCUCGACUUCUACCAGGGC
rnacentral:lncRNA from 1 species